rnacentral:tRNA from 1 species
UAACUCAAUAGUUUAAUCGGUUAAAACAAGAACUUCAUAUGUUCGAGAUUACAAGUUCAAGUCUGGUUUGAGUUAA